CCUGGACUCUGUGUUGGCCCUCACUGCAUGCUGGGACAUACGGGGGAGGGAGGAGGGGGAGUCUCGGCAGCAGUCUGUGGUGUGUGUACAGAAGAGUGAUGUACUCAGCCCCUGCAGUGAAGAGCCUUGAUGAAGCCAGAGCCAGGAGGUGCACAGUGUGGAACUUGUGGAAAAAGAAAACACAUUACCUGCCAACUGUCUAGAUGUGAUCAUAUACUUUACACCAUUGACAUCUGUGAAAAGAAAUAUGAGGUGUCAUUGUAAACCAACUAUGAAUAACAACAGGCUCGGAGCGGUGCGGUACAGAUGUAACAAAAAGAGCUCUUUUUUCUUUUUCUUUAAUGAAUUGUAAAAAAGUGGUUACUUUAUUUAU